rnacentral:rRNA from 1 species
UACGUAGGGAGCAAGCGUUGUUCGGAUUUACUGGGCGUAAAGGGCGCGUAGGCGGCGCGGUAAGUCACUUGUGAAAUCUCUGAGCUUAACUCAGAACGGCCAAGUGAUACUGCAGUGCUAGAGUGCAGAAGGGGCAAUCGGAAUUCUUGGUGUAGCGGUGAAAUGCGUAGAUAUCAAGAGGAACACCUGAGGUGAAGACGGGUUGCUGGGCUGACACUGACGCUGAGGCACGAAAGCCAGGGGAGCGAACGGG